GACGAACGCUGGCGGCGUGCUUAACACAUGCAAGUCGAACGGAAAGGCCCUGCUUGCAGGGUACUCGAGUGGCGAACGGGUGAGUAACACGUGGGUGAUCUGCCCUGCACUUCGGGAUAAGCCUGGGAAACUGGGUCUAAUACCGGAUAGGAGCCAUUUUUAUUGUGAUGGUUGGAAAGUUUUUUCGGUGUAGGAUGAGCUCGCGGCCUAUCAGCUUGUUGGUGGGGUAAUGGCCUACCAAGGCGGCGACGGGUAGCCGGCCUGCGAGGGUGGACGGCCACAUUGGGACUGAGAUACGGCCCAGGCUCCUACGGGGGGCAGCAGGGGGGAAUAUUGCACAAUGGGCGCAAGCCUGAUGCAGCGACGCCGCGUGGGGGAUGACGGCCUUCGGGUUGUAAACUCCGUUCGCUAGGGACGAAGCUUUUUGUGACGGUACCUAGAUAAGAAGCACCGGCUAACUACGUG
rnacentral:rRNA from 1 species